AGAUACUUCAAAUUUCAGAUAUUGUGGAAGACAUCUCUCAUAAUGCUGGCAAACACACAGGGGGGGAUGUAGUCCACAACACUGGAAGUGCUAAAGGUUCCUUACCUCUGUUCUCUAAAGUGAACCACUUUAUUGUAAUUGGACUGGGAUCGGUGGUGCAAGCCAAAAGGUUAGAUGUUUACUCAUACACAGGGUGUGCCGCAGGGGCCAAAUGUCCUAGGUACGCCCCUGCCAGUAACAAAUGAAAUGGUGAUGGAGGGUUUGCAGUGAUAGUUCUGUUUAACUGGCAAUGGUAAGCUUUACAGUGCUAUUCUCAAUAAUUAAACAUGGGGGGUUCUGGUGGGCAUCAGUAUCCCAAUAUCUACAUUAGAUAUUUCUUAAUUUUUGUAAUCUGCAAUAUACACUGUUCUCUGCACUAAGUUUAUUUGGAUUUGUAGUUGGGUCAUUUUGAGUCUUGGGAAACCUCUCCAAUACAAAUUUAAUGGCAAUCUGUAGUGCCUAGAAGAAAUAUCUAGGGAGUUGGAUCAGGAUUGUCGGAAACAAAUACAGAGCUCUAGGGAGUAGGUUCAUUUUAUGUUCAUCCUUACCAGCCACAAGAGCAUUGUGUAGGACCCGGGGGAUUUUAGUUAAACAAGUCAGUAUUGCCAGGACAUUUUGUCUACAGAUGUAAAAUCUAAUGUAGAAUCCUCUUAAU